rnacentral:lncRNA from 1 species
CCUCCUUUAGUUUUAUCUUCACAGCAGUCUUUUCGGAAUAAGAAACUCUUUUUUUUUCCUGUAUUGCAAUCCUUUGGAGUUGCUUUUGAAGGUAUUUUCUUGCUGCUUUAUUUCUGUCCCUUUUCCUUCAUUCUUAAAUGAAUUUUCCUUGGUAUCCUUAUCUCGUCCAUAUGUCUUUCCUUUCUUUCUUUCUUUUUCUAGACUAUCUUUUAGCCUUUUCAUCUAG